UACGAAGGGGGCUAGCGUUGUUCGGAAUUACUGGGCGUAAAGGGCGCGUAGGCUGUGCUGUAAGUCAGGCGUGAAAGCCCCGGGCUCAACCUGGGAAUUGCGCUUGAUACUGCGGCGCUGGAAGGUGGGAGAGGAUGGCGGAAUUCCUGGUGUAGCGGUGAAAUGCGCAGAUAUCAGGAAGAACACCCGUGGCGAAGGCGGCUCUCUGGGACGGUACUGACGCUGAGACGCGAAAGCGUGGGGAGCGAACAGG
rnacentral:rRNA from 1 species